GCGUUGGUAGUACAACGGAUUAGAACACGCGCUUCCGGGUAGAGUGAAUGUGGGUUCGAGUUCCGCCCAACGCA